rnacentral:lncRNA from 1 species
GUUCCAGCUACAAAAUAUCCAUUCUUUUCAGGGGCACAUCAGUGCUUGUGUUCAGCCACCCUUUACUUAGUAAUAGCCCUGAAGCACAAGAAUACACAAGAAUAGUGAUGCUGGCAAUUUUAUUGUAGUAUAUUAUUAUAUUUGUACUAUUACAAAUAUAUAUUAUAAAUAUAUAUGUGCACUUUUAUACACACAAACACACACACACGCACUGGUGACCAGACCCAGGUCCUGACACAUGCAAGGCAAGCAUUCUACCACUAAGCUAUCCCUCCAGCUCUGUUGUUAAUCUCUUAUUGUGCCUAAUCCUAUAAAUUAUCCUAAGUAUGUAUGUACAGUCAUGUGUAGGUAAGAGACAAGGAUACACUGAGAAAUGUGUCCUUCACUGUACAAACAUCAUAAGAUAUUCUCAAACUAAGUUACAACAUCACUAGGAAUAUAACCUUAUGGACUACUGCUAUUGACCAAACCAUCUAUUAUUUAGUACAUAACUGCAUAUAUAUAUAUGGUUUGGGACUGUUGUCUCAGGCAUCCACUGGGGGUCUUAGAAUGUAGCGCCUGUGGAUACAGUGGGAUUAUUAUUUAGGCCAGCAUCCCUUAUGAAUACUGAUGCAAAUUCCUCACUUCAAAUACUUGAAACUGAAUGCAACAGAUUGAAAAGGAUUAUACACUAUGACCAAGUGGGACUGAUUCCUAGAAUGCAGGGAUGACAAAAUAUAAAAAUAAAUAUAAUACAUUAUAUUAAUGGGGGGAUGUUGAGAGCCACAGCCGAAGGGGCCCCAGCAAACUUUUAGCUGCCAGCAAACUUCCAGCUGCCAGCUGAUGAUUGGCUCACAGCGGCCCCAGCAAACUUCUAGCUGCCAACUGAUUGGCUCCUCUGUGGUGAUGCUCAUUGGGCUGUUUCCCCACCUUUCAGAUCAGGAGCUGCUCACUGGGGGACUUUUGUUUGGCUCCGCCCACGCGACCCAGCCAACCGGCCUCAAGAGCAGGAGGAGAGGGGGAGGUGGAGAGGCUUGUGGGAGAGGCUUGUGGGAAGCUGGUGGUGGCAGUUGGGCUCUGAGGGAAUUCAUGAAGAGCUGUGUGGUGCGCUGUGUGUGUUCUAAAAAUAAUGUUCGUUUCUUUUGACAAGUAGCUCCUGAAUUGUGCCCAGCCAGACUGCGGCAGGGGGACAUUACUCGAUCAUCUCAGUGAGAAAAGGCAUUUGAUAAAACUUAACUCCCUUUUAUGAUUGAAAAUACACUCAACAAACUAGUAGAAGGAAGCUACCUCAAUACAAUAAAAUCCAUAUAUGAAAAUCCCACAGUGCUCAUCAUACUCAGUGGAGAAAGACAAAAGUGUUUCCUUCUAAGUUUAGUAGCAAGAUGAGGAUGCUCACC